AUUCCAGACUCCUACGGGAGGCAGCAGUGGGGAAUAUUGCACAAUGGGGGGAACCCUGAUGCAGCGACGCCGCGUGGGUGAAGGAGCACCUCGGUGCGUAAAGCCCUAUCGGCAGGGAAGAAAAGCGAACAGGUUCGCCUGGACGGUACCUGACUAAGAAGCCCCGGCUAACUACGUGCCAGCAGCCGCGGGAAUACGUAGGGGGCAAGCGUUAUCCGGAUUCACUGGGUGUAAAGGGAGCGUAGACGGCGACGCAAGUCUGGAGUGAAAGCCCGGGGCCCAACCCCGGGACUGCAUUGGGAACUGGCGCGCUGGAGUGCCGGAGGGGUAGGCGGAAUUCCUAGUGUAGCGGUGAAAUGCGUAGAUAUUAGGAGGAACACCAGUGGCGAAGGCGGCCUACUGGACGGUGACUGACGCUGAGGCUCGAAAGCGUGGGGAGCAAACAGGAUUAGAUACCCGAGUA
rnacentral:rRNA from 1 species